rnacentral:lncRNA from 1 species
CUGACUGUUCUGACUUGAUCUUCUAAAAGGCAAAUGUAUUUUACAUAAUUACAUUGGGUUUUAAGUGAGAAGAAGGAUUCAAGCUGUGGCCAUACUCUUUUAAAAAUACAACAUGGAAGUUUACCAACAUUGGACUCUAAUGUUUUGUGUUACAUGGAAACCUACAGUAAGCUUCCUUUAUCAAUCACUUGCUGACAUUUUUAAACCAGGAAGUGCUUCUCAGAUGGCCUUCAGCUGCAUUUCCAUAUUCCUGUGAACCAGAGCCCAUUGGCCAAACACCUGAGAAAACAUUUUUUGGCUGAUUGUUUUUCCUUUUGUGUCUUUUAAAUCAAUUUUGAUAUAUUUUAACAAUGAAAUGAGUGUUGAAUAUCAGCUAUGAAAUUCUACUAUUAAGUUCAGAUGUGAAACAGAGAAUUCAUGGGUAGAAAAAUGUGUAAAGGAUUUUAAUCUGUGAUAAUUUGCUUAUUUUCUUUGUGAUUUGUCAUUAUAUUCUUUGUAAAUUGUAAUAAGGAUCACCUAGUAAUCUCACAGAAAUGUUUAUUUUCUAACUAAAUUUGUGCCCAUGUAUAAAUUCCAUAUUUAACACUGGAAAUGUAUCCAUCCACAUCUGAAUGAAAUAUAAUCCUAAUUUUGUUUUCUUUAUGUAUGUGAUG